rnacentral:rRNA from 1 species
AUGAACGCUGGCGGCGUGCCUAAUCCAUGCAAGUCGAGCGAACAGACGAGGAGCUUGCUCCUCUGACGUUAGCGGCGGACGGGUGAGUAACACGUGGAUAACCUACCUAUAAGACUGGGAUAACUUCGGGAAACCGGAGCUAAUACCGGAUAAUAUAUUUAACCGCAUGGUUCAAUAGUGAAAGACGGUUUUGCUGUCACUUAUAGAUGGAUCCGCGCCGCAUUAGCUAGUUGGUAAGGUAACGGCUUACCAAGGCAACGAUGCGUAGCCGACCUGAGAGGGUGAUCGGCCACACUGGAACUGAGACACGGUCCAGACUCCUACGGGAGGCAGCAGUAGGGAAUCUUCCGCAAUGGGCGAAAGCCUGACGGAGCAACGCCGCGUGAGUGAUGAAGGUCUUCGGAUCGUAAAACUCUGUUAUUAGGGAAGAACAAAUGUGUAAGUAACUAUGCACGUCUUGACGGUACCUAAUCAGAAAGCCACGGCUAACUACGUG